UACGUAGGGUGCAGGCGUUAAUCGGAAUUACUGGGCGUAAAGCGUGCGCAGGCGGUUUGCUAAGACAGGUGUGAAAUCCCCGGGCUUAACCUGGGAACUGCGCUUGUUACUGGCAGGCUUGGAGUGUGGCAGAGGGGGGUGGAAUUCCGACGUGUAGCAGUGAAAUGCGUAGAGAUGUGGAGGAACACCGAUGGCGAAGGCAGCCCCCUGGGCUAACACUGACGCUCAUGCACGAAAGCGUGGGAGCAACAGG
rnacentral:rRNA from 1 species